rnacentral:lncRNA from 1 species
UUCCUCUUAACCUUGUUUUGAAUUAUUCAGAACAACACCUAAAGAGAUGGAACACUGAUACCUGAAACCUGCGGGGAGAGGGAAUCAGAAAAGGAGAAGGAAGGUUACCAGGCCUAUGGACCAGAAGUACUCCACAAAGAGCAAAGAGGUAAAUGUAGCAAACUGGAAGAGUUUCAUUAAAGAUAUGCACUGCAUGCAGAAUAUUGAACCAUUAUUGAAAAUAAAAUUGGACACGAGAUGCUUUGGACACAAUGAACUAGCCCAGGGGAUGACCAGUAAUUCUCCAGUGAGCUG